rnacentral:misc_RNA from 1 species
AAAGCAAAAAAAAUAAAUAAAUAAAUAAAUAAAUAAUAAAAACUGGUUAAUCGAUUAUAACAGUAUUACACACUUUGGAAACAACGGACGGAAUUGUGUGGCGUAAAACUACCGAAAUCUAAACACAGUUACUUCCGGUUCGAUUCGGAGGCGCAGACGACGAUAAACAUUUAUCACGGAGAUCUCGACUCGCAGGUAUGUACCUUCUAAUAACGUACAAUAAUUGUUGAACAUCGAGCGAGAUUUUUAGAUCAAGGACAACGGUUUCGGUUGAUCGACCAAUAAGUAUACAGACACACGUUACGUACCCACCUAUUUGAGUAUAUAGCGAUUAUGUACAAAAUUAUAUCGUAAUUAUAAUUAAGACGAAGAUCUUCGUCGCACGUGAAAGUUGGAAUCUUGACGUUGUAAACGUUCGUUUGCAACGUCUCUCUGUUAUUAUAAGAUGCAGUUGAAAUGGGACGGUACAAGGUAUAUCAUUUUUUC